UCUCUUGAGAUUAGUCUUCAGUAACACAGCUGUUAACUGACAGAAACUUAAAUAUGUCCUGUACCUUUGCAUUAUUGCAGCAUAACAGAGGUGACUGGGCCAUGCCCCCAAAAGAUCUUGUUAACAGCUGAUGGGUAAUGCUGCCAGGUCCAACCUCUUCCUAGCAGAAGAAAUUGAGAGAUACAUAAAUUGCUUGUUCUUCUAAAUUGCUGCUGGGUUUAGAUUAAUAGUUUCAAGGCUAUUACUUCAGGAUUCUCAGUUCACCAGCAUACACACUUAACCAACAGCCAAGCAAUAAAUCAAAAACAAAUGAUCACACCGACUGUUAUUCAAAUGUAUAAUAUAGCAUCGUCUUCAACACAGCAUCAUGCCAAGAUCCCCCAAUUCUUGCCAUAACGAACUCUUGUAUACACUUCCUGAAUGAAAUCUGAGGUAAGGUCUUUCUAAUCUAUCUAUACAAAUAAGAAACGUCUUUCAGGGCUCAGCUGCCAUCCUAAUUUUCAGCUGUAAUUAUGUCAACAUUCUUUUAUCUCUGAGCAAAGCAAAAUGUUAC
rnacentral:lncRNA from 1 species